rnacentral:rRNA from 1 species
AUGGCGGCCAGGCUGGUGCCAUGGGACGGUGAGAAUAUCACCGCCAUUGGGAGAGGGGCGCUUGUCAAGUCUGUGCUUACCUCUCAGGUCAUUUACCACAUCAUCGCCCUUAGGCCUCCCACGAGCACCCUGCUGAACAUCGCAAAGUUGGAAAGGGCUUUCCUAUGGGCGAGCACCAAUAAGACAACUGGGGCCAAGUGUAAGGUUAAUUGGAGCUCUGUCUGUCGGCCAACCGACCUAGGAGGGCUUGGCAUCCUGGACCUGGCAAAGUUUUCGAGAGCCCUUCGGCUUAGAUGGUUGUGGUUCGAGUGGACUGAGCCUUCCAAGCCGUGGAUUGGAAUGGACAACCCCUGUGAUGAGCUUGACCGAGACCUCUUCUAUGCCUCUACACGCAUCACCAUUGGCAACGGGACAUGUGCCAAAUUUUGGGACUCACCUUGGGUUAAUGGAGAGAAGCCUUCCAGCAUAGCACCUCUCAUCUUCGAGGCUUCCACCAGGAAGAAUUGGAAGGUCCGGGAGGCCAUGCAUGCGGACGUGUGGUUGUCCAAAAUCAAGCUCCCCAUCAACUGGACAAAUGGGCCAUAUUCGGCAGCUCGUUACUCUUUGGGCUCGGUUGAGGGCCAUCACCCUUGUGGCGGACGCCGUUGA